GAUGAACGCUGGCGGCGUGCCUAAUACAUGCAAGUCGAGCGAACGGACGAGAAGCUUGCUUCUCUGAUGUUAUCGGCGGACGGGUGAGUAACACGUGGAUAACCUACCUAUAAGACUGGGAUAACUUCGGGAAACCGGAGCUAAUACCGGAUGAUAUUUUGAACCGCAUGGUUCAAAAGUGAAAGACGGUCCUGCUGUCACUUAUAGAUGGAUCCGCGCUGCAUUAGCUAGUUGGUAAGGUAACGGCUUACCAAGGCAGCGAUGCAUAGCCGACCUGAGAGGGUGAUCGGCCACACUGGAACUGAGACACGGUCCAGACUCCUACGGGAGGCAGCAGUAGGGAAUCUUCCGCAAUGGGCGAAAGCCUGACGGAGCAACGCCGCGUGAGUGAUGAAGGUCUUCGGAUCGUAAAACUCUGUUAUUAGGGAAGAACAUAUGUGUAAGUAACUGUGCACAUCUUGACGGUACCUAAUCAGAAAGCCACGGCUAACUACGUG
rnacentral:rRNA from 1 species